rnacentral:lncRNA from 1 species
UUGCAUUGUGAGCUUCUUUGGAAAUAUAGAUUUUAAUUUUCUGAUACUGUAGAUGAAACUCAUUUUUAGAUGUAUUUUCUUUAUCUGAAAUGAUGAGUUAGUAAUCUUCCUGAAUUUCAGAAACAGUGUGAAUAUACCCUGAUAGGCUAAGCAUAUAUUAUUACCAUAUGCUUGCUAUAAAUGGAAUUAAGCAUGGCUAUGUAUUGGCUAGGGGAUUACUCAGAAUCAGUUUGAUGUACUGAUCAGCUGGGCUUUUAAAUACAAUACUGGCAUUGUUGUGUUGUGCUAUGCAGAUCACUGUCUCCCACCUGGGGAGGUCUGCCCCAUUAGGAAUUAAAUCUAGCUGGUGCUGCUGCAGCUGCAUUGGCAAAUGGGAGAGGGAAGGAGGCAGCAGCAUACAAACAGGACUAUUGUGCUAGGUGAAACUCAACACCAACUUGGCUAUGCAGGUUGUCUCCACCACUCUGUGUGUAAUAAUGGAUGUUUUGGACAAGGUCACAACUGUUGGACAAAUAUAUACAGAAGAGACAUGUCCACUGUCAUUUGUGGAUGUUGUUUCAUCUUAUUUAUUUAUAAAUCAUUGGGGUACAUGCAGUAAAGACAAAAAAAAGAAGUUUCUACAUGGAAAAGAAAAUGGAAUACCCAUACAGUACCCCCCAUCCAUUAAAGCAGACUUCAGAAAUAAGUGUAAGGACCAUAUUAUUGGUGCAUGUUGAGGUUUCCCUCUAUUCUGAGUGACUCUUGAACAUCAGAUAUGUGCCAGCUACAAAGAGUGACUGAACAUGCUUGGGUCCAAGGACUAUGCUGGAGUGGGAUCACACGAUGGGAUAGAGAAGUUGGGACCAAGGAGAUCUGUGAGAGAAACUGCCUAUUUCUUGUUCAAAGGAGCCAAAAGCUACACAGAUGUGAAGAUCAGUGAGCAAGAAACUUCUCAGUGAAAAACAUGGUAAAAUGGAGAAGUCAGUCCUGUGGUCUAGGGUUGCUUGUGUAGGGAGGUAUUAUAGAUAAGGGUGUAAGGAAAUGUUAACCUAGAUAGAUCCUGACCAGAGCUAAGAGUUAGGAACAACAACAACUGAAGUCUGGGUGGGGCUGGCUGGAGAAACAUGUCUUAUAUGGCGAUUGGGAAAAUUCUGCUUCAGUGUAAGGUUUAGUUUUCUCUCUGUGAAAUAAGAAUAGUUACCUUUUUGCUAAACCAGUAUCUAACAUUAAUUUCAAGGGAAACUAUAUCCAACUAAUAAAUUCUUAUUAUUUGUUAUUGGAUGAUCA